UUUGGGUUUGAUCACCCCAUGAGAACUUCAAGCUGCAAAGUUCAUGGAAGGAGGAGGUUGGCCUUAUCUUGCCAUUUCCUGCAAAAUGGAACAAAGCAUAGAUAACUGAGAUAUCUCAAUGAAAACUCAUGGAACUACAAGACAUCCACAAUCAACAGAACAAAAUAUCGAGGCACCUUAUUCUAGUCAGGGAACUAUAACUCUCAAAAGAAUGAUCACAGGAAAUGCUAAUGAAUGUUCUCCUUUUGGGGAAAUAUGAUCAGAAAACUUAAGUGAGCUUAAUCACCGCAAGCAGCUUUCAAAUAAUAAAAAAAAACAUGACACUGUUUAUUAA
rnacentral:lncRNA from 1 species